rnacentral:lncRNA from 1 species
UAUUAAAUUUUAGAAAAGUUUGAUAUGAAUUUAGAUUUAAAGUUUGGAGUUUAGAAUAAAGUUUUGAGUAUAGGGUUUGAGGGUUAAGGGUUUGGAGUAUUGAUUUAAGAUUUGAGAUUAACUUUUGAAAAUAGUAAUUUUUUAGUUUAUAUUUAAGAUAUGAAGUUAAAUUUAAGAUUUAAUGUUAAAAUUUUAGAAUUUAAAGUUUUUGUUUAGAGUUUAGGAUUGUGUUAAAAGUUUAGGGUUUAAAUUUAGUGUUAAGGUUUUUGGAGGAAAAUAAAAUAUAGUGAGUAGGAAAGUGAAACAAGGGUGAAAGGAAAAAUAAAUUAUUUCACGCUUUAAUUAUGCAUAGUGUUUCAAAACUGAAAGUGCUAUGUAUACUAGGUUUAGAAAAAAACGUUUACGGACCUAAAAUCGGAUCAACCAAAG